CUUUAUUUUAGUCGAUAGUGUGCUAGGUUGUUACAAUAGGCUGUAUUUUAAAUACUUUAUAACUGUUAACUACGAUUUUGGGGACACGAAAGAGAUUGACCAUGAUUAACCAAAGGAAAUAUGAAAAGCGUCACACCUACAAUUCUAUGAAGAACGAAGGUAUCUGGUACUCUCACCUAGGACUACCACAAAUCAUAAAAACUAACACGGUAAAUAAGAAAACAAGCACUGGACGCGAUUUAACGUUUUGUACAGAGACGUGUCCUAUGAUCUUCAAAAACACAGAGCAGAAAACAGGAAACAGACAAUAUCCCUAUUCAGCCCAUGACAAUCGUGAUACUAUACACAGCGUGGAGACGUUUGAUGCUGGUUUGGGGCGUAAAAAGUAUUACAGUGACGGAAGAACGAACUACUCCCGCUUCUUCCUGUGGUCCCCUAGUAGAGCGGACGAGGACCUAGCUGGGCGCUUGUCGUCCUAUCGGACAGAUUACCUGGCCAUCCAGGUGUUACACACAGACACCUGGAACCACCGCCGCUUUCCCAGAAACCACCUGGAGAAAGCCAGCGCUGCACCGACUGUUGCCCAGGUGGAGAGGAACCUCAGUUUUGGGAGAAACGACUCUCUUCCUGAACAAACAACUCUUGCGGUUAACAACCAGCCCUUACCUGCCCAGCGGUCAAUGCCAGGGGUUCUGCCACUGUGUUAGCUUGGGAGAAAAGGUUUUGUAUUCGUCAAUAAAGGCUGGAGUUGGUGGUGGCUCUAGAAACAGCCCGUGUCAUACAGCUUUUUACCCUUCUGUCCCUGCCUUUAAAGAUCCUGAUUGUAAGUAAGGACAGACUUCAUCAGAAAUGACACCGCCCCCUAUUGAUAUUUCAGAUUGAACAGCGAGAGAGGACAGACUGAACAAGGGAUGAAUCUUAUUUUUAACAUCGUUCCAUUGCACCCCAUCAAUUGAGCUGCGGUGGCAGUGCAAAAUGAGAGGCUAACAUUGAUUCUGUAAUCAAUAUGUUACUUGAGAAGCGCUCUGCCAUUAAUUCACCAGAUCUUGACACAUUAAGCUCCUGGUGGAACCUGGAUGGCUGGCUGUGUGCUGCAGGCAAUGUUUCAUCCACAGGCUUCAUUAAUAAAUUGUAGUAGAAAUCAAUUAUAAAACAUGCUAAGUAAAAGCUGAAGAAGAAAAACAAACUCACUCUCUCUGGCUGUUUUCCCACCAGCAGAUCCAAUCAAUAUAGGUAUAUGUAAGUUUUUUCUUAUAAAUGUUUGCUUGUAUGAGUCUAUUCUGAGGCAGUACUCUGCUUCAUGACAUUCAUUGAGUUUGCCAACCUUACCCAAACAAUACCCUAACCUUUAUGCCUAAUUGAAACAUACCCAUAGUGUCUAACCCAGUUCCUAACCCAUAAUGGCAAAACCUAAAAGUAACCCCAAUUUUAUAACUAUGACCCUUAAGCUGAAAUUUCCC
ensembl:lncRNA